rnacentral:tRNA from 1 species
GGAGCUGUGGCUCAUGGCAGAGCAUUAGCCUGGCAUGCACAGGCCCUGGGUUCGACCCAGCACUACCA